UUCCAGUCCAAUAGCGUAUAUUAAAGUUGUUGCAGUUAAAAAGCUCGUAGUUGAAUUUCGGGGUUAGUAGGCUGGUCAUGCCUCCGGUAUGUACUGGUCUCACUGAUUCCUCCUUCCUGAUGAACCGUAAUGCCAUUAAUUUGGUGUUGCGGGGAAUUUGGACUGUUACUUUGAAAAAAUUAGAGUGUUUAAAGCAGGCUAACGCUUGAAUACAUUAGCAUGGAAUAAUGAAAUAGGACGUUCGAUCCUAUUUUGUUGGUUUCUAGGAUUGACGUAAUGAUUAAUAGGGAUAGUUGGGGGCAUUAGUAUUCAAUUGUCAGAGGUGAAAUUCUUGGAUUUAUUGAAGACUAACUACUGCGAAAGCAUUUGCCAAGGAUGUUUUCAUUAAUCAAGAACGAAAGUUAGGGGAUCGAAGACGAUCAGAUACCGUCGUAGUCUUAACCAUAAACUAUGCCGACUAGGGAUCGG
rnacentral:rRNA from 1 species